rnacentral:rRNA from 1 species
UACAGAGGUCCCAAGCGUUACUGAGAAUCACUGGGUUUAAAGGGUGCGUAGGUGGUCCGUUAAGUCCGUUGUGAAAUCCCCGAGCUCAACUCGGGAACUGCUUCGGAUACUGGCGGACUUGAGGCCAGUAGAGGUCACUGGAACUGACGGUGGAGCGGUGAAAUGCGUAGAUAUCGUCAGGAACGCCGGUGGUGAAGACGGGUGACUGGGCUGGUUCUGACACUGAGGCACGAAAGCGUGGGGAGCAAACAGG